rnacentral:lncRNA from 1 species
GCUAUGGUCUGCAUGAUUGUUUAACAAUACCUGGUGCCCCUCCUGUAGAGCUCCUGUCUGCCAUGGUGGCCAGGCAGAGUAAGCAGGGACAGAAGUGGCUGCUGGACCAGUCCCGUCCCGACCCACCCGCAUGCCUAGGCCAGGGCUCGGGUGAUCCCUCGCUGCUACUUCCCACGUGGUUUCCAGGCUCCUGUAUGGCCUCUGCAGCUCCUCUUCCUGUUCUUGGUAGUGAUGCCAUGGGUGGCCCGUCCGUCCAAGGAAUGACCGGUGUGAUCUGAGACAUAGGCUGGAGGGUGCAAGGGACGCGCUUUCAAGAAAGGGAGUCAAAGAGCCUUCUGCUGGGCCUGGAGGAGGACAGCCCCUCAGUCCCUGUGGGGCUCACUUGACUUCAUGAGGUGCCCCAUUCAUUUCUGUUCCUGCUGGAAAUCCUAUCUGAUUAGGAAGCUGGGGGUGGAAGGAAUUCCGACUGUGCAGGAGAGAGCUGCGUGGCCAGGUCGGACAGGAGGCGUGCCGAGCCAGGGCUGGAGCUUCUGCACUUGGCUGUGGCUCCCCCGGUGUGGAGGGGUGUCGGCCUGGGCCCCUGGUCUUGAGGGGGCCGGGCAGAGGCGGCAGUGGUGGGGUGUGAGGACUGGGGGCCAGGCGAAUGCACGUGGCCUUCACUGCUCCGAUUGCAGGUGGGAGGCGGAUGAUGGCAGCUCAGGGCCACUCCUGCCCUGAACCAAUCCAGGGCAAUGGGGAAGUGAAUGGAAAGCCAGUGCCUGCCGUUGUCACCACGUCCCCACGUCACGUGUCCUGCAUUGGCCCCUGUCCUAGGAGUGGGUCUGAAUGAACCUGAACACCUUCAUCAAUUCCAGUGCUCAAGUCUCUCCUCAGAGGCAUGAAACAGGCUGCCCAGGGCUGGCCAUGACCUCUGGGGGACUCAACAGCCCCCAGCACCCCAGCUCCAGUCCCCUGGCAUCCAGGUCACACCCCUCACCGGGAUGCUGUGCAGCUGAGUGCACUAGGCUGGGGGACAGAUGCCCCUUCUCACUUGACUUGCUCCUUAAUUCUUGGUCUGCAUUCGGCUCCCGCGAAUUUGCCUGGCGAGGCCUUCUCCGUGGAGUCAGGUGCUCAGCACCUGCCUGCUGCACCCACAUACGCUCUCCCCUGCCCUCUUUGGAGGUAAGAAGGAAAUAAAUCCACUUCUUAUAAAAUUGGCAAAGCCUGGGCACACACUAGUGGUUUACUUUUUGGCCGAAGGACAUUUUUCCCAGCCCCACCUUCAAUACGGGGGAUGUCCCAUGGCCUGGCAGCCGGACACAGAGGAGCUCUAUGUGGUGCAAAGAGUGCAGGCCCCAGCCUGGGCCUCACUCAACUCCAUCUCAACUCUCCCUAAGCAACUGCAAGGGAAGCCAAGGUCA